AGUCUGGCUAAUUCAAGAGGGGGUUUCACAAUGAUUGGUAUCCCUCUUUGAGAAGGAAUAUAAAAAAGAAGCCAUGAAAAUGUUUCUGCUGGCCCCAGGGUGGGCAUGCUAUGGAGUCUGAAAAAGAAUGAAUCUAAGCUAAUGCCUAAUUAGAAAAUUAUGUAUACAAGUUGAAGAAAACGACAACUGUGCAUCAGAAAGAAAAGACCACAGAGAAGUGAUAUGAUCCUUCAUCAAAUGCUUGUUCACCUCACUAGUGCAUUCAACUGAGAUCUGUACUCCUUCCAAGGUUAUUAAUUCCUCUUUUAGAAUACCGAUUAUUGAUUUGGUUUCUGCAGUGAUAUAAACCUAUCCAUAUUAUUU
rnacentral:lncRNA from 1 species